rnacentral:rRNA from 1 species
AUGGAUCUUGUCGUGAGUGCCUCAACGAGUGCACUGCGGGCCGUUCUUCCGAAGCUGGCCAAGUUGCUGGGCGACGAAUACAAGCUGCAAACAGGCGUUAAGGACGGGAUCCGGUACCUGCAUGGGGAGCUCGGAAGCAUGCAGGCAGCCUUAGAGAAAGUGGCAGAGGUGCCGGCGGAGCAGCUCGAUCCGCUGGUAAAGCUCUGGGCGCGUAACCUGAGGGACGUGUCCUACGACAUCCAGGACACCGUUGAUUCCUACAUUGUGCGUGUUGACGCUGGUAGUGAGUCUGGAUCCUCCUCCUCCAUGACGUGCUGCGUUAACAUACGGCCACGGGCAUGCAAGGCUCGCCGCGACAUCGCCACAGAUAUCCAGCGCAUCAGAAAGGAAGUUGAGGCACUGAGCAGCCGGCGCGAGAGGUACAAAGUUGACAGUGUGGCAGUCCAAGUGCCAGCCCUGUCUGAUCCACGCCUGCUAGCUCUGUACCAGGACAAGGAAGAGCUCGUUGGCAUCGACCGUUCGAGCAAGCGGAUAAUGGAGUUUCUGUCAAUGGGAUCGGGAGGUGAAGGCACAUCAGGGCAGAAGCUCAAGUUGGUCUCCAUCGUUGGCCCUGGUGGGAUGGGCAAAACCACCCUUGCCAACGCGGCGUAUCAAAAUCUUCAAGGGAAAUUCGAUUGUGCCGCUUUUGUUUCGGUUUCUCUUCGGCCUAAUAUGAAGAAUAUCCUCAGCAGCAUACUUCGUCAAGUCACCAGCAGAAUCAAAGAGGGCCCGGAGGACAAGGAUAGGAGCCUACUUCGUUUGGAAAGCCAAAAACACUAUGGAAACACUGAAACGUGGUCGGAAAAGGAGCUUAUCGACAAAAUCAGACAUGUUCUUGAGAAAAGGAGAUUCUUCCAUGAAUGA